rnacentral:rRNA from 1 species
AUGGGGUGGCUCCGCUCCCUCGUCUCCCCGCUCAGGAAGCUCUGGUGCAACAUCAACACCGUGCCAAGGAAGAAGAGAGGGAUCUACAUCCUGUACGACGACGUCAAGUCGUGCCAGUGCGAGGACGUGCACGUGCUCUGGUCCAUCCUCGUCGAGUCCCACGGCCUGCCGCCGCCCACGCCGCCGGUGCUCCGGCUCACGCGGUGA